rnacentral:rRNA from 1 species
CUUGCUUUCUCCGCCGGCGACCGGCGCACGGGUGAGUAACACGUAUGCAACCUGCCCCUGUCAGGGGGACAACCCGCCGAAAGGCGGGCUAAACCCGCGUACAUGCCACCGGGGCAUCCCGGAGGCAGGGAAAGGCUUCGGCCGGACAGGGAUGGGCAUGCGGCGCAUUAGGCAGUAGGCGGGGUAACGGCCCACCUAACCGACGAUGCGUAGGGGUUCUGAGAGGAAGGUCCCCCACACUGGUACUGAGACACGGACCAGACUCCUACGGGAGGCAGCAG